rnacentral:rRNA from 1 species
AUGGAGAAUGUAGUUGAUGAGUUCGUCGUCCUGCAGGGGCUUGCCGGCGGCCGCCAGCUCAUCGGCAAGGCCACGCAUAUGGGCGAAGAAGGUGGCGACCGAUUGGGUGCCCUUCUGCGCGCUGAGCAGGGCCGUGCGAAUAUUAUUGACACGACUCAAAGACUACGAGGAGAACAUUCCUGCGAGCAUUGUCCAGAGCACGCUCGCCGUGGUGACCGUGGUCACCUGCAGCAGGACCUCCUUGGUGAGGUUGUUGAGGAGAUAGCCCAGCACUUACUGGUCCUCCCGGACCCAAAAAGGGUGGAGAGGGUUGGGCCAGAGGUUUCCUUCCCAUCCUUAUCUUUGGUGGUGAGGAACUUGGCCGGCUCCGGUGUUGUGCCGUCGGCGUAG